rnacentral:rRNA from 1 species
GAUCAUGGCUCAGGAUGAACGCUGGCGGCGUGCUUAACACAUGCAAGUCGAACGAAGCACUGGCUUUGAAGUUUCGGACAGAUAAGCCUCUGACUUAGUGGCGGACGGGUGAGUAACGCGUGGGCAACCUGCCGUAUGCAGGGGGACAACAGUUGGAAACGACUGCUAAUACCGCAUAAGCGCACGGGGACGCAUGUUUCUGUGUGAAAAAGCCUUAACGGCAUACGAUGGGCCCGCGUUGGAUUAGGUAGUUGGUGAGGUAACGGCCCACCAAGCCGACGAUCCAUAGCCGACCUGAGAGGGUGACCGGCCACAUUGGGACUGAGACACGGCCCAAACUCCUACGGGAGGCAGCAGUGGGGAAUAUUGCACAAUGGGGGAAACCCUGAAUGCAGCGACGCCGCGUGAGUGAAGAAGUAUUUCGGUAUGUAAAGCUCUAUCAGCAGGGAAGAAAAUGACGGUACCUGACUAAGAAGCCCCGGCUAACUACGUGCCAGCCGCCGC